GAUGAAGAACGUAGUAAAAUGCGAUAAGUAAUGUGAAUUGCAGAAUUCAGUGAAUCAUCGAAUCUUUGAACGCACAUUGCGCCCGCCAGUAUUCUGGCGGGCAUGCCUGUUCGAGCGUCAUUUCAACCCUCAAGCACAGCUUGGUGUUGGGACUCGCGUUAAUUCGCGUUCCUCAAAUUGAUUGGCGGUCACGUCGAGCUUCCAUAGCGUAGUAGUAAAACCCUCGUUACUGGUAAUCGUCGCGGCCACGCCGUUAAACCCCAACUUCUGAAUGUUGACCUCGGAUCAGGUAGGAAUACCCGCUGAACUUAAGCAUAUCAAUAACGGAGGA
rnacentral:misc_RNA from 1 species